rnacentral:tRNA from 1 species
GGGCGGUUAGCUCAGAAGGUCCAGAGCACCUGCCUUACAAGCAGGGGGUCGGCGGUUCGAGUCCGCCACCGCCCA